AUCGGCUUUGCAGGGUGGUGGUGCUGGCGGUGGCUUUCUGUGCCGCGCCGGCCUGGGCGGCGUUCGACCUGCCCGAACUGAUG
rnacentral:tRNA from 1 species